UACAGAUGAUCCACACGAGGCUGCAACAAAAUCAGAGGUUCAUCAAACGAAGAUCCGCUCGAAGUGCUAGCUUCUUGCAGAUCCCUCUGGAUGGUUAAUCUAAAAAAAUAUUCUUCGAAUCUCUUGGAUAUUCUAAGAGAUGAAGAAUAUGAGGAAGAAUAAGGGAUAAGUCAAACCUUUUCACCUUUCUAAAAUCAAAAUUAGUAUUUAAUAGAAAAGGAUCCUAAGAGAAGAUAGAUCUUCUCCUUCAAUACAUCAACAAUUGAUAUCUUGAAAAUAUCUCUAUGCU
rnacentral:lncRNA from 1 species